rnacentral:rRNA from 1 species
UAGAGUUUGAUCCUGGCUCAGGAUGAACGCUGGCGGCGUGCUUAAGACAUGCAAGUCGAACGAAGAAUUUAGCAAUAAAUUCUUAGUGGCGAAUGGGUGCGUAACACGUAGGUGACCCACCCCGAAGUGUGGAAUAACAGUCCGAAAGGACUGCUAAUACCGCAUGUGGUCCCGGGUUUUAGAAAGCCGGGUCUAAAGCAGCAAUGCGCUUCGGGAGGGGCCUGCGGCCCAUCAGCUAGUUGGUAGGGUAAUGGCUUACCAAGGCUACAACGGGUAGGGGGCCUGAGAGGGUGACCCCCCACAUUGGCACUGACACACGGGCCAAACUCCUACGGGAGGCAGCAGUGAGGAAUAUUGCUCAAUGGGCGAAAGCCUGAAGCAGCAACGCCGCGUGCGCGAUGAAGGUCUUCGGAUCGUAAAGCGCUUUUGAGAGGGACGAGAUAGGACGGUACCUCUUGAAUAAGUCACGGCUAACUACGUGCCAGCAGCCCCGGUCA